GCAUCCUUAGUUUUCCUAGUUAGCAUAUUCUAACUCUCCUCGAGUGACUCCAGAGUCCUUCAGUAAUAAAACAAAAAAUGGCCCCGGAAGUACCUCUUGAUGUUUUUGCUUCCACUGGUAAGGUCCCUAAACUCGACUCAAAAAAGGCAUUUGUGACUUUUUUAGCAGGUACUGGUGACUAUGUUAAGGGUGUGGUUGGAUUGGUUAAGGGUUUGAGAAAUGUUAAGAGUGCCUACCCUCUAGUGGUUGCAAUCUUGCCUGACGUGCCUGAAGAGCAUAGAGAAAUAUUGAGGUCUCAAGGUUGCAUUGUUCGAGAAAUCGAACCUAUUUACCCACCUCAGAAUCAAAUUCAAUUUGCCAUGGCUUACUAUGUCAUCAACUACUCCAAACUGCGUAUAUGGAAUGUAAGUCUUUUUUCCUUGCAUGUACAAAGUUCCAAUUCUUUUGUGCAUCGGUUAAAUUCUAUUAGAUGUCCUCCCAAGGCAUGAGGUUUUUAUUCUUUAUAGAGCCCUAGAUAAAAAAUUGUAGAUUCCUAAAUUAAUCACACCUUUUAUUGUAGAUGUUACAUGCAUAAAGAUUGAUUAAGCAAUCUAUAAAAAAACAAGAAGAUACUCAAUGAUGUCAUGCAACCUAUGAGAAAGAAUAAAAAAUCUUUAGUUACAUGCAUGUAUUUCUCAUGCAACUAGGGACGACAAAUAAGCCAGUUGGCUUAGCCCCAAAAAGAUCGAGCCAGUUGAGGUCGGGACUUGGUAGAAUCGAGUCAAGGCUCAAGCCAAGCCUAAAUUUCGGGACUUGGCUCUAGCUUGGGCUGUGACCCAUGUCAUAGGCUUGGCCCGACCUGUUGCCAACCUUCAAUUUUUUUUGUUUUGUUAAUAUUUAAUUUAAGAUUUAUAUCAAUAAAGUAUAACUUAUAUAUAAAUAUGCUUACAAAAUUAAUAUUCAUAAUUAUGCUACAUCUAUGCUUAUAAUUUAUUAUCAUAUUCUUUAGUAUUCCCUUUAUGUUUUAUUCAUAUAAAUUUUAAAUUUUGUUAUGCAAGAGUUAAUAUAAUAUUUGUUGUUAUCUUGUGAUGUUGAAACUUAAAAGACGUUUUCUAUUCCAAUAUUUUUUAUUCUACAAGUAAAUAUCAUGAUAUUUAUACACCUAAAAAUUAUACUCUAAUUUAUAUAUUCUAGUAUCUAUAUGAAUAUUUUUUUUUAUUGUAUUUUAGUUGAGAAGAAGAACUUGUUUGAAUUCUUUAUAUGAAUAUUUCAUGAAUUAAAAAAAAUUCGUGAGCCGGCUCGGCUCAAUGAAGCUUGAGUUAAACCUCCAAAUUUCGGUCGGGUUUUGGCUCAAUUAGGCUCACAAUAAAAAAGCUUGAGCCUUUUUAUUUUUUAUUUUUUGAUCGGGUUGUGCAUGAGCCACAACCUUUGGCUUGUGAGUUGGCUUGACCCGACUCGUCGACACCCUUAAUCAUGCAUCUUGCACUAAAAUCUUUCUAUUUUUGUCUUUUUUUAAAAUUCGGCCAGUAGAGUAAAUUUGCUUUGAAAUAUCCAAGAACCCAUAUAUAGGAUAUAGCAUGCAUGAACUUAAAAAGGUGUAUGAUCAUGAUAGGAUAAGAACAACCCGUCGAGAUGGGUGAUUAUUUAAAAAAAUAAAAUAAAAAAAAUUCACCCACCCCUGCAUGAGUGAGUGGCCUGUAUAGCCAGCUCGAUUGAACAAAUAUUUAUUGUCUUAAGCUCUUAUGCCUCAGACUACGACUCAUACCAAAAAUUUUAGAGAAAUUUCUGAAAAUUGUGUAUUAUAGUGGAAAAUCGUUAUAUUGUCCAAAUUUAUUUUUCCUUACAAAAACUAUGAAUAAUUUUUUUAUUUUUCUUUUCAUGUACAUUCAAUCACAGUUUGUCGAGUACAGCAAAAUGGUGUAUGUCGAUGCAGACAUUCAAGUUUAUGAAAACAUUGACCAUUUGUUGGACACCCCAGAUGGAUAUUUCUAUGCUGUAAUGGAUUGCUUCUGUGAGAAAACAUGGAGUCAUUCCAAACAAUAUUCAAUUGGGUACUGCCAACAGUGCCCUAAUAAGGUUAAUUGGCCUGCUGAUGAACUGGGUUCCCCUCCUCCACUCUAUUUCAAUGCUGGAUUUUUUGUGUAUGAGCCUAGCAAAGUAACUUAUGAAAAUCUGCUUCAAACUCUCCAAGUCACUCCACCAACACCAUUUGCUGAGCAGGUAUAUAUGUUCGACUUAUUAAGUAAAAGUUUACUUAUUUUAAAAGUAACUCCUAUCUUAACAAAAAACUUCUUAUACAAAUCACAGGAUUUCUUAAACAAGUUCUUUGAAAAAGUCUACAAGCCUAUCCCUCUGAUAUACAACCUGGUUCUGGCAAUGCUGUGGCAACACCCAGAGAACGUUGAACUCAAAAAAGUUAAAGUUGUUCACUACUGUGCUGCUGUAAGUACUUUCUUAGUAGACCAAAGUGUGCAGUAUAUUCAGACUCUGCGUUCGAACACAAACAUGCUACAGUGUUAGAAUCAUUGAUAUAAUAGUUGACAUAAUAACACACGUAUUAUUAUGGGACUGUGUUUUACACAGUCAUCUUUUCUAUCAAAUAAUUUUUCACCACAUAGGAAUCUGCCGCUGCUUCUAUCACCAUUGAUCUGACAAAGUAGCAUAAUCCUUCUGAAAAACGUGUUUCUAAUCUGAUUAACAAUACCAUAUUCAGGGAUCGAAGCCAUGGAGGUAUACCGGUGUUGAAGCAAACAUGCAGAGAGAAGACAUUAAGAUGCUAGUGAAGAAAUGGUGGGAUAUAUAUAAUGAUGCUUCACUUGAUUUUAAGGCUGAAGAGACUACAGAAGAAGGGACUAUCUCAAAAUCAUCAAUCUUGGCUUCUUUGCCUGAGCCUGCAGUUUCCUACAUUCCUGCUCCUUCGGCUGCUUAGAAAUAAGCAAUUAUCUCUUCAAAUUAAGUUGGUUUGGACUUUUAUUACAUACUGC
rnacentral:lncRNA from 1 species